GUCGAGAGGCUUCGGCAAUGGGGGAAACCCUGACCGAGCGACGCCGCGUGAGGGAUGAAGGCCCUUGGGUUGUAAACCUCUUUUGUUCGGGAAGAAGUGCGAUCAGGUGAACAAUCUGGUCGUUUGACGGUACCGGACGAAUAAGCUCCGGCUAACUCCGUGCCAGCAGCCGCGGUAACACGGGGGGAGCAAGCGUUGUUCGGAAUCACUGGGCGUAAAGGGCGUGUAGGCGGUCAGGUAAGUGGGAUGUGAAAUGCCCCGGCUCACCCGGGGACCUGCAUCCCAAACUGCUUGGCUUGAGUAUGGGAGAGGAUGAGGGAAUUCCUGGUGUAGCGGUGAAAUGCGUAGAUAUCAGGAGGAACACCGGUGGCGAAGGCGCUCAUCUGGCCCAAUACUGACGCUGAGGCGCGAAAGCUAGGGGAGCAAACGGGAUUAGAAACCCGAGUAGUCC
rnacentral:rRNA from 1 species